CAGUAGCCGCGGGAAUACGGAGGGGGCUAGCGUUGUUCGGAAUUACUGGGCGUAAAGCGCACGUAGGCGGCUUUGUAAGUUAGAGGUGAAAGCCCGGAGCUCAACUCCGGAAUUGCCUUUAAGACUGCAGAGCUAGCAGGUGAGAGAGGUGAGUGGAAUUCCGAGUGUAGAGGUGAAAUUCGUAGAUAUUCGGAAGAACACCAGUGGCGAAGGCGGCUCACUGGCUCAUACUGGACGCUGAGGUGCGAAAGCGUGGGGAGCAAACAGGAUUAGAUACCCCCGUAGUCCCUGUCUCUUAUAC
rnacentral:rRNA from 1 species